GGGUUGGUAUGGCUGAUCUGGCUGUGACAUCUGUCACCCCACUGAUCGCCAGGGUUGAGACGGCUGAUCUGGCUCGGCAGGUGACCCCUCCUUUUUCACCACUCCAUGUGUGUCCGUCCGGAUGCUGUGGGCUUGAAUGAAGACGACAACCUUCCCUGAAUAGAGGAGGACCGGUCUUCAGUCAAGGGUAUACGAGUAGUUGUGCUCCCCUGCAAGAACCUCCAAAUAAGCUCGCAAAUGUUUCCUCAAAGGGAGCCAUGAUUCAUAAGGGCAUUCACUUUCCCAGAUGAUCUAAAUGCAUUUGUUU
rnacentral:snRNA from 1 species